CUCUACUCAGAAAGCAGAAUAUCUUCCCCAGACAUUAAGACAGAAAUCUAAUACUUGUAUGCCACUUUGUUUGGUUUACAAGUUUGGCUCUUCUGUUAUAUUG